CCUACGGGAGGCAGCAGUGAGGAAUAUUUGUCAAUGGGCGCGAGCCUGAACCAGCCAAGUAGCGUGAAGGAUGACUGCCCUACGGGUUGUAAACUUCUUUUAUAAAGGAAUAAAGUGAGGCACGUGUGCCUUUUUGUAUGUACUUUAUGAAUAAGGAUCGGCUAACUCCGUGCCAGCAGCCGCGUUAAUACGGAGGAUCCGAGCGUUAUCCGGAUUUAUUGGGUUUAAAGGGCGCGUAGAUGGGUUGUUAAGUCAGUUGUGAAAGGUUGCGGCUCAACCGGAAGAUUGCAAUUGAAACUGGGAGUCUUGAGUACAGGUGGGGUAGGCGGAAUUCGUGGUGUAGCGGUGAAAUGCGUAGAUAUCGCGAAGAAC
rnacentral:rRNA from 1 species